rnacentral:rRNA from 1 species
CCAAACUCCUACGGGAGGCAGCAGUAGGGAAUCUUCCACAAUGGACGAAAGUCUGAUGGAGCAAUGCCGCGUGAGUGAAGAAGGGUUUCGGCUCGUAAAACUCUGUUGUUAAAGAAGAACACCUUUGAGAGUAACUGUUCAAGGGUUGACGGUAUUUAACCAGAAAGCCACGGCUAACUACGUGCCAGCAGCCGCGGUAAUACGUAGGUGGCAAGCGUUGUCCGGAUUUAUUGGGCGUAAAGCGAGCGCAGGCGGUUUUUUAAGUCUGAUGUGAAAGCCUUCGGCUUAACCGGAGAAGUGCAUCGGAAACUGGGAGACUUGAGUGCAGAAGAGGACAGUGGAACUCCAUGUGUAGCGGUGGAAUGCGUAGAUAUAUGGAAGAACACCAGUGGCGAAGGCGGCUGUCUAGUCUGUAACUGACGCUGAGGCUCGAAAGCAUGGGUAGCGAACAGGAUUAGAUACCCUGGUAGUCCAUGCCGUAAACGAUGAGUGCUAAGUGUUGGAGGGUUUCCGCCCUUCAGUGCUGCAGCUAACGCAUUAAGCACUCCGCCUGGGGAGUACGACCGCAAGGUUGAAACUCAAAGGAAUUGACGGGGGCCCGCACAAGCGGUGGAGCAUGUGGUUUAAUUCGAAGCUACGCGAAGAACCUUACCAGGUCUUGACAUCUUCUGCCAAUCUUAGAGAUAAGACGUUCCCUUCGGGGACAGAAUGACAGGUGGUGCAUGGUUGUCGUCAGCUCGUGUCGUGAGAUGU